GUCUGGGUGGCUCAGCCAGUUGAGCAUCUGACUUUGGCUCAGGUCAUGAUCUCAUAAUUAGUGGGUUCAAGCCCCAUAUCGGGCU
rnacentral:tRNA from 1 species